rnacentral:rRNA from 1 species
GAACGCUGGCGGCGUGCUUAACACAUGCAAGUCGAACGAGAAAGUGGACUUCGGUCCGCGAGUAAAGUGGCGCGCGGGUGAGUAACGCGUGAAUAAUCUACCCCUGAAUUUGGGAUAACAGUUCGAAAGGGCUGCUAAUACCGGAUAACAUUGUCUUUUUUUACGGAUUAGACAAUCAAAGAGGGCCUCUCCUUGGAAGCUUUUGUUUGGGGAUGAGUUCGCGUCCCAUUAGUUAGUUGGUGAGGUAACGGCUCACCAAGACAUCGAUGGGUAGCUGGUCUGAGAGGAUGAUCAGCCACACUGGAACUGACACACGGUCCAGACUCCUACGGGAGGCAGCAGUGAGGAAUUUUGCGCAAUGGGCGAAAGCCUGACGCAGCAACGCCGCGUGAGUGAUGAAGGCUCUUGGGUCGUAAAGCUCUGUCAAGUGGGAAGAAACCUCUUGGAGUUAAUACCUUCAAGAAUUGACGGUACCACUGAAGGAAGCACCGGCUAACUCCGUG